rnacentral:lncRNA from 1 species
GUGUAGGUUUGUUACGUAGGUAAACAUGUGUCAUGGUGGUUUGCCGCACCUACCAACACAUCACCUAGGUGUGAAGCCCAGCAUGCGUUAGCUAUUUAUCCUGAGGCUCUCCUCCCCCGAUUCCCACCCCUGACAGGCUCCAGUGUGUGUUGCUCCCCUCCCUAUGUUCAUGUGUUCAGUAAAUCCAAAAAUAAAAGUGAGGAGGUGAAGAAAAAGCAGUGAAAACACUUAACAUGCCUUAAGCAUAAAAUAAAUCAGACUUUCACGCCAAUGCCCCAAAUUUCAGAAAACCAAAUACCAU